rnacentral:rRNA from 1 species
AUAUUCCAAAUAGCGGAGGAAAAGAAACCAACAGGGAUUGCCCUAGUAACGGCGAGUGAAGCGGCAACAGCUCAAAUUUGAAAGCUAGCCUUCGGGUUCGCAUUGUAAUUUGUAGAGGAUGAUUUGGGGAAGCCGCCUGUCUAAGUUCCUUGGAACAGGACGUCAUAGAGGGUGAGAAUCCCGUAUGUGACAGGAAAUGGCACCCUAUGUAAAUCUCCUUCGACGAGUCGAGUUGUUUGGGAAUGCAGCUCUAAAUGGGAGGUAAAUUUCUUCUAAAGCUAAAUAUUGGCGAGAGACCGAUAGCGCACAAGUAGAGUGAUCGAAAGAUGAAAAGCACUUUGGAAAGAGAGUUAAAAAGCACGUGAAAUUGUUGAAAGGGAAGCGCUUGCAAUCAGACUUGUUUAAACUGUUCGGCCGGUCUUCUGACCGGUUUACUCAGUUUGGACAGGCCAGCAUCAGUUUCGGCGGCCGGAUAAAGGCUCUGGGAAUGUGGCCUCCACUUCGGUGGAGGUGUUAUAGCCCAGGGUGUAAUACGGCCAGCCGGGACUGAGGUCCGCGCUUCGGCUAGGAUGCUGGCGUAAUGGUUGUAAGCGACCCGUCUUAAAACACCGGGACCA